GGGGGUGUUUUGGCCUCGACAGUAGAUUUUGUCAUGAUUCGCAUAUCGAGUAUCUCUCAUUCUCGUUAAAAAUUGAGGGAAAAUAUAAGUGCCAACUUAUAUCAAAAAGCAAAAUUAGCGGUUACCGAUUUAUUUGGUAGCUACAGUUUUGCUCCGGCAGUGGCCUAAAGGCCGUCAAUACCGCUAGUCGGAACUGUCCAUCGCUUUUAGUCGCGCUCGGCAACUAUUAGGCGGUGUCACUCACCGAGCUAGGACAAUCCGGCGCCAACCCUGAUUGCCCAAAAUAUUAGUUGGCUAACUAACUUGGAUUUUGUUCUUUACUAACCAAGCUGGCGAAAAAUAACAAAAGAACUAAAUAUGUAGACGGUUGCGUCAAAAUCAUCUGGACGCGGGUUCAACUCCCGCCACCUCCACCA
rnacentral:tmRNA from 1 species